GGAGGGGGGGCCUGGAAUGUCUGCGCGCGUGACGCACGCGGGGUUCCAUUGACGCAGGGAGCGCGGAUUGUUUGAUCUAUAAAUAGGCUCCUCGCGCCCGCCGCGCCCGCUAAAAAUAGCAGCUCCCAGGCCCACUAGGCUCCCCGCACCGGACUCGGGUCCCAGCUGGGGGCCCCCAGGUCCAGAAUAACCAGCGGGAGGGCCAGAGCCCGAGAAGGGGCGCUGUAGAGACGCGGCCGCGGGGCUUCCCCGGAUGAGGAUCUCCUCACUCUCCAGUUGCUCCCGGGAGCCAACCGCGCCCGGUCCCUCCGGCUCCCUCCGAGCCUAGCCCCGCCUUUACACCUUCCCAAGCCCUUCCUGGAGCCCUAGGGUGUCGCUGCUGCCGCUGCUGGGCGGUCAGGACAGGCCGCGGGCUGAGGCGGGCAAUUCGGACACACCCUGGGGAGCCUGCGCCCUCACCUCAGCCCUAGGCGCAGCUAGUGCACAGGACGCGGCUUCCCCAGCAGGGUCUCAGGCUGAGAGGCUGCCCCUGAGACGUCAGUUAGAGCCCUCGCUUAGUCCCUCCAGGCAGUCUCCCUACACAGGACCUUCCCGAGGGCAGGCGUUGGCCAGGCCCAAGCUCGGCCAACAGCUCUGGCUCCGCUCCACAAGCUGAACUUGGUUUCGCACCGUCCCCUCCCCAGCCCCUUACAGGGGGAGUGCACCCUAGUUGGGAAAUUACCGAAUUUCAGAACCGGGUGGAGCCUGAGAAAUCUUUUCAAACUUGUGCCAACUCUUCCUCAUUUUAUAAACAAACAGGCUCAGAGAAAUAAUGGCACUUGCUGAAGGUCACACAGCCAGGUGGUGGCACACUGGGUUGGAACCCAGGGCCACAGACUGCAUCUCUAGGGAUCUCUCCACGCCUCUUAUCAAUACCCCUCCCCCUGUCCACAUCAGGGAGCACCGGCCCUCCCAGCCUACCUCCAGCACCUGUGGGGAGGCAGCUCUGACCAGUUAUCACCUGCCCGGUGGAGUGAGGAACAGCCCGCCAGGGCCCUGCUGGGCACAGACCAGGCUUCAGCCACCUGGAGCCUUCCCUGGUUUGGCCGUCACCCUUCCACCCUGAUCUCUCCUGAGCCUGGGGAGCCCUCACGGAAAAGUAAGAGAAGAGGGAAGGGCAAAAAAACAAAAACAAGGAAAAGAGAGCCCUGCCACCCCACUGCGACCCCCAUCCAUUCCCCUUCUCCCAUGUUCCACAGGGCCAACAGUGGGACUUGAGUAUUCGCAGUACAAGUUGGGGUCCUGGAGCCAACCCCCUUCAUAAACCAAGGGGUGACUGUAAUGCUGAUGGCAUUCAGUCAUCUGGUCAGAACCUGCCAGAACCCUCCAUCCCAGCAUACAGUCUCAACGUGAAUGCAUCUGCAGAGAGCUCUGGGUUGCUCCAAACCAUCUUCCUUCAAGGCCACUGGUUGAAUGUGAAGUGUGGGCAGGAUGAUGCCAAUUGGACCCAUCCAGGAUCCCUACCUCAUUUCAGGCAAAGUUUUGCUUUUCUUUCUCUUAGGCUUUUCCGUAAGAUUUUGCUUAGAUUUUGUGGAAUCCUUUUGUGGAAAAUGACUCCACAGCUUAAAAAAAAAAAAGGUUUAAAACCACAUAUAGAAUUCAAGUCCUCCCAUUUUGCAGAUUAGGAGUCAAGGGUUCCAAGAGGAGCUACACUUUGCUCAGGAGCACACAGCAAGUCUUGCUGGGUGGAACUGAUCCCAGCUGUGUCACAGGCUGACUUCCUCACCUAGCACCCACUUUGCCCCAGGAUGUCUCCCUCCACCCCAGCAGGGCCUUCCCUAGAAAAUAAAAC
rnacentral:lncRNA from 1 species